CCUACGGGGGGCUGCAGUGGGGAAUAUUGGACAAUGGGGGGAACCCUGAUCCAGCCAUGCCGCGUGUGUGAAGAAGGCCCUCGGGUUGUAAAGCACUUUCAGUGAGGAAGAACGCCUGGUGGUUAAUACCCAUCAGGAAAGACAUCACUCACAGAAGAAGCACCGGCUAACUCCGUGCCAGCAGCCGCGGUAAUACGGAGGGUGCGAGCGUUAAUCGGAAUUACUCGGCGUAAAGCGCGCGUAGGUGGCUUGAUAAGCCGGUUGUGAAAGCCCCGGGCUCAACCUGGGAACGGCAUCCGGAACUGUCAAGCUAGAGUGCAGGAGAGGAAGGUAGAAUUCCCGGUGUAGCGGUGAAAUGCGUAGAGAUCGGGAGGAAUACCAGUGGCGAAGGCGGCCUUCUGGACUGACACUGACACUGAGGUGCGAAAGCGUGGGUAGCAAACAGGAUUAGAUACCCCGGUAGUC
rnacentral:rRNA from 1 species